ACUGGCCUAAAUCAAUGCAAAAUGUCCUGUGUGCUGUUUCUCAGUCUCAUCUUUACCAAGGAAAAAAUGCAUGAAACAGAGUCAGAGUCGGCCUUAUGCAGUGGGAACUGCUGAGACAUUCGUGGAUUUUAAUUUUAAAAAUGGCUCUUCAAAUAUUUAAGAAUUGAAAACCAAUCAUUUGGAUUCUGGAACUACACAUUUAUCCUUACCUAAAAUUAAUAAAAUGAUAUCUGAAUCACGAA